rnacentral:rRNA from 1 species
AUUGAACGCUGGCGGCAUGCCUUACUCAUGCAAGUCGAACGGUAACGCGGGGCAACCUGGCGACGAGUGGCGAACGGGUGAGUAAUGCAUCGGAACGUGCCCAGUAGUGGGGGAUAACUGCUCGAAAGAGCGGCUAAUACCGCAUACGACCUGAGGGUGAAAGCGGGGGAUCGCAAGACCUCGCGCUAUUGGAGCGGGCGAUGUCAGAUUAGGUAGUUGGUGGGGUAAAGGCCCACCAAGCCAACGAUCUGUAGCUGGUCUGAGAGGACGACCAGCCACACUGGGACUGAGACACGGCCCAGACUCCUACGGGAGGCAGCAGUGGGGAAUUUUGGACAAUGGACGCAAGUCUGAUCCAGCCAUGCCGCGUGCGGGAAGAAGGCCUUCGGGUUGUAAACCGCUUUUGUCAGGGAAGAAACGCUCUGGGUUAAUACCUCGGGGUAAUGAUGGUACCUGAAGAAUAAGCACCGGCUAACUACGUGUCAGCCGCCGCUGUAAAAC